rnacentral:rRNA from 1 species
UAACACGUAUGGGGCGAGCGUUGUUCGGAAUUAUUGGGCGUAAAGGGCGCGUAGGCGGUUUAGUAAGCCUGGUGUAAAAGGCGCUGGCUUAACCAGUGUUAUGCGCUGGGAACUGUUAGGCUUGAGUUCAGGAGGGGAAGCUGGAAUUCCUGGUGUAGGGGUGAAAUCUGUAGAUAUCAGGAAGAACACCGGUGGCGAAGGCGAGCUUCUAUCCAUGGACUGACGCUGAGGCGCGAAAGCGUGGGGAGCGAACAGGAUUAGAUACCCUGGUAGUCCACGCUGUAAACGAUGUGCACUAGGCGUUGGGCGUGUUGUGCGUUCAGUGCCGUAGCAAACGCGUUAAGUGCACCGCCUGGGGAGUAUGCCCGCAAGGGUG